CUUAGUUUCAAAGAUAUAAAGCAAAAACUGCAUUUUACCACUAUGUUCUAAUUUUAGCCAUGUCGGCCAUUUUGUUUGGUAGGUGGGGUCAUCGGACACAUUUUUAAAACUAUAUACCACAAUUAUGAUUGUGGCCAAGUAAGUUCAAAUUUGGCCCAGUAGUUUCAGAGAAGAAGAUUUUUGAACAAGUUGCAAAAAAUGACAAAAAGUUGUUAAAAUUGACUAUAAAGGGCAAUAACUCCUUAAGGGUUUGACUGACAAUUUUGGUUAUGUUGACUUAUUUGUAGGUCUUAUUUUGC
rnacentral:lncRNA from 1 species